rnacentral:Y_RNA from 1 species
GAGUGGUUCGAGUUCAGUGGUAUGUACAACUAAUUGAUCAUAAUCCAUAACAGAUUUACUUGCUCCUUCUCCACUGCCACUGCUUCUUUUGGCUAGCCAUGA